CAGCCGCCGCGGUAAUACGUAGGGUGCAAGCGUUAAUCAGAAUUACUGGGCGUAAAGCGUGCGCAGGCGGUUUGUUAAGACGGAUGUGAAAUCCCCGGGCUCAACCUGGGAACUGCAUUCGUGACUGGCAAGCUAGAGUAUGGCAGAGGGUGGUGGAAUUCCACGUGUAGCAGUGAAAUGCGUAGAGAUGUGGAGGAACACCGAUGGCGAAGGCAGCCCCCUGGGCCAAUACUGACGCUCAUGCACGAAAGCGUGGGGAGCAAACAGGAUUAGAUACCCGUGUAGUCCCUGUCUCUUAUAU
rnacentral:rRNA from 1 species